ACCCAUCUGGUGAUAUUUUGCAGAGAAAAGCAAAGGGGAAGUAAUGAGAAAGCAAAAAGGAAAUGUUGGGUAAAAGGAGGUUGUUGCUUUAAAUAGGACAGCCAAGCUCGUCUGGUGUGCCGAUGGGAAUCUUCCUGUAGAGAGAGACUGAUAAUGUUGAAGUGAGAGGAAAUAAUUCAAAGGGGUGAAGUCUUUGAGAAGGAGAGAAGAGAUGGCAGCCAAGACACAAGAAGAGGAAGGUAGGAAGAGGAAGAGGAAAUACAGGAAGACAGAGAACAUGAGGAGUAGCACAGAGGCAUGAAGUGGCAGCAGGUGCACAAAGCUGCUGACCUGGAGAGCAGAGAGGUGGACAGCUCCAGGCCAGGAGGGCUGCGGGACCCAAGCAGGUGGGCCAGGGGACGGGCAGGCAGCAGAGACAAGGAAGUGAGGAGGAUUCACAUCAGAGCUGGGACACCAUGGGGUCUGUGGUCCCUGACCAGAGGCAGAGGUCAGGGAGAACUAGCAGGCAGGAACAGCACCAGGCAGCUGCAAAAGGAGAAGUGUGGCACUUAACACGUCAGUGAAACUUUAUCCUUGGACAAACUUCCUUCCUGCCCUUGCUUCUGAGUCUUUCUCAAGCCACAGUGGCACUGGAUUUGUGACCUGCCAUCUUUCAGUGCUACUGCUCUCCAAGGAUACCUUUUUCUUCACAAAUUGCUACCUAUUGAAGUGAUACUCAUUUCAGCCACCCAGAUCUGGACAGUCUUUGCCUCCACCUCUCUGGUAUUUUUUUUUUGACUGCAUAUUUCCUGGCACAUAAGCAAUCUGAAAAUGGCCAGCUAUUCUGAAUUACACACUUAUUUUAAAUGUGUCUGUUUGUGUCAAAUGGAGAUGUUUAUUUUUAGGAGAUUAUUGAUAGAAACUGGGGAGCAACAUUUAAGUAUCUUCAGUUUCCUGAAAGCACGUUGAAUUCUCCAUUAGAUGAGCCACGAAUAUUGUUCACAUUAUCUUUCUAACAUUGCACGCGUCCUUUGUGUAUUUAAGUGUUCCUCAAAGUAUGUAGAACUAAUGUUAAAAAGUAAAUACCUACUAUGAGUCAGGUAUUGUCUUAGACUUGAAUAUGAAAUAGUAAAUAAAACAGACACAGUUUCAGCCCUCUCACAAGAGACAGACGUUAAACAUAUAAUCGCCUGGAAUAUAAAAUUAGAAACUGUGAAGGAAAAGAGCAAGAUACUAGAAAUAAUAAUGGGAAAGCCGUCUUUGAAUUGGAGGACGGAAGUGGCAGAGGCUGUUGUGAGAAAGUAAUAUGUGCUGUGACUUGAAAGAUGACCAGAGUCAGCUAGAUGAAGUGUGUGAGGAAGAGUGGUUCAGGCAAAGGAAACAGCAUGUGCAAAGACCCGGAGGCGUGCAAGAAUUUGACAAGUUCAAGGACCCAAAGGAAAUCCAGGACAGCUGAGUAUAAAAGGCAAGUAAAGUGGGAGAUGAGUUGGAAAAAUAGGGAGGUUCUUGUCGAUCACAUUAAAAUACUUGAAUUUCAUGUGAAAUGAGAAGCCAUUGAAAGUUGUUAAAGCUGGAGAGUGAUUUAGUCUUUGAAAGUAUUUUAAAGAUCACCUUGGUUGCUGCAGGGAUCUUUAGUGGAGGACCUUAAAGAGAGGAGCUGGGGAGGCUAAUUAGGAGGAUAUGGCAAGAGAAUGUGUCCAAGGAGAAAGAAAGAGGCCUAUAAAUUGAAAGUACAUUUUGGAGGUAGAACCCAGGAACCUAAUGAUGGAUUGUUUAUCUAAUACAGUUGACCUUUGAACAACAUGGGUUUGAAAUGCAGAUCCACUUAUAUGCAGAUUUUUUUUUUAUAAAUA